CCUCUGUAGCUCAGUUGGUUAGAGCGCUGAACCGGAAUCGCAGGGCCGUAGGUUCAAUUCCUACCUUGCAGAGGA
rnacentral:tRNA from 1 species